CCCCUCUCAGGAUCACACCUGGAGAGUUUCCCGUAUUCUACCAGUCUUGAUUACGUGAGGGAGAGUCAAGCAGAGGCCUACCCGUUCCAUUCCUAACUUGGGCAGUGGCUAGCGAGUGGAGGCAAUCUGCUACAAGU